rnacentral:rRNA from 1 species
GGGUGAGCGGCGGACGGGUUAGUAACGCGUGGGAACAUGCCCUUCUCUAAGGAAUAGCCACUGGAAACGGUGAGUAAUACCUUAUACGCCCUUCGGGGGAAAGAUUUAUCGGAGAAGGAUUGGCCCGCGUUAGAUUAGAUAGUUGGUGGGGUAACGGCCUACCAAGUCUACGAUCUAUAGCUGGUUUUAGAGGAUGAUCAGCAACACUGGGACUGAGACACGGCCCAGACUCCUACGGGAGGCAGCAGUGGGGAAUCUUAGACAAUGGGCGAAAGCCUGAUCUAGCGAUGCCGCGUGAGUGAUGAAGGUCUUAGGAUCGUAAAGCUCUUUCGCCAGAGAUGAUAAUGACAGUAUCUGGUAAAGAAACCCCGGCUAACUCCGUGCCAGCAGCUGCGGUAAUACGGAGGGGGUUAGCGUUGUUCGGAAUUACUGGGCGUAAAGCGCGCGUAGGCGGAUCAGAAAGUAUGGGGUGAAAUCCCAGGGCUCAACCCUGGAACUGCCUCAUAAACUCCUGGUCUUGAGUUCGAGAGAGGUGAGUGGAACUCCGAGUGUAGAGGUGAAAUUCGUAGAUAUUCGGAAGAACACCAGUGGCGAAGGCGGCUCACUGGCUCGAUACUGACGCUGAGGUGCGAAAGUGUGGGGAGCAAACAGGAUUAGAUACCCUGGUAGUCCACACCGUAAACGAUGAAUGCCAGUCGUCGGGUAGUAUACUAUUCGGUGACACACCUAACGGAUUAAGCAUUCCGCCUGGGGAGUACGGUCGCAAGAUUAAAACUCAAAGGAAUUGACU